UCAGGCCUAACACAUGCAAGUCGAACGGCAGCACGGGAGCAAUCCUGGUGGCGAGUGGCGAACGGGUGAGUAAUACAUCGGAACGUGCCCAGUCGUGGGGGAUAACUACUCGAAAGAGUGGCUAAUACCGCAUACGACCUGAGGGUGAAAGCGGGGGACCGCAAGGCCUCGCGCGAUUGGAGCGGCCGAUGUCAGAUUAGCUAGUUGGUGGGGUAAAGGCCUACCAAGGCGACGAUCUGUAGCUGGUCAGAGAGGACGACCAGCCACACUGGGACUGAGACACGGCCCAGACUCCUACGGGAGGCAGCAGUGGGGAAUUUUGGACAAUGGGGGCAACCCUGAUCCAGCCAAGCCGCGUGCGGGAAGAAGGCCUUCGGGU
rnacentral:rRNA from 1 species